AAGCAGUGAAUUCUCCGCUACUUCUCUGCUACAUCAUCAAAAUGGUAUUCAGGUCUGCAUGAAUGGAGUCUACCAAUAUGACCAAUCCAAUGAAAAAAAAUCAGAAAUGAUUUCAAAACCUUUUCACUGAGGCAUAUAUUUACAACUCUGAUGUGAUCUCUCCCCAGAAGAGGUUGAAAUUGUCAUCAUUUUACAAAUGAAGCAAAGAAAAUAAACAUGUCCUGACUGUUUAAGGCUAGCGGAAAAGUGUCAACAGCCUGGACACCAGCCGGGGUCAAGAUCCCACUGACAGGGACAGGAAGCAGGGAAAUUCUGGGCAGAAGAGGGCGGGUCCCUGGAGAGGGCCCCACCCUCAAGCCUGGAACCAUGGCCCAAAGCAAGAACUUACAUCCCUGUUUCCCUGCUCCAAUGUUGCCUUUUCCAAAACCACCCAUGGCCUGCCCCACCCCCGAUCUUGUGCCCAUAAGAACCCAGGAUCAUCCAGCAGGGAGCAGGAGAAGCAGCUGGACAUCAGAGACUACAAUUGGACGUCAGAGAAAAGCGUUUUGACUUAGAGGGACAGCUUGAUGGCAUAGCUUUGGAGAGGAGUCCGGCCAGGAACAGCUGAACUUCAUGGGAAGAUUACGUUCCCUCCAUGUCCUCUUUUCAGCUCCCCUUCCCACUGAAAGCCACUUUCAUUGGUAAUAAAUUCCCCCACAUUUACCAUCUUCAAUUUGUUCAUUGGACCUCAUUCCUCCUGGAUGCCAGACAAGAACUCAAGUGUGAGUGCAAAUGGCUAUCACACUGACCCUCC
rnacentral:lncRNA from 10 species